rfam:Ornithorhynchus anatinus chromosome 4, whole genome shotgun sequence.
CCCCUCUUGGGAUUGUACCUGGAGAGUUUCCAGGACUCUACCAGUCUCGGCUAUGGGAGGGAGAGUCUUGCAGUGGUAUACCCAUUCCGCUCCUAGCUUGGACAGUGGCUAGCGAGGGGAAGCCAAUCUACUACAAGU